AUUAAUGUUGCAGUGGUGAAGAGCUGAAGCUCAGAACUGGUGUGGUAGGGUUCCUAAUCCCUGAAGAAAUCUAUGUGAAUGUGCAGAGAGCCUCUGUCAAGCUGAACAGGGAUAACAACAAUGGAUAUGUUAAAGUGGAUGAGAAAAAUCUCAUGAGAUUUCAACCAUACACAAAGAACCAUAUGCAACUGAAGAAAGGUGAGAAGAGGAGAAAUUGCAUUUCCAUGGGAGGAACACAACAAUUGAUUGUCCGUUGACUAAAGCUAGAUAAGAAAUCCACAUUAUAUAACUUUAUGAGCACCAAGAAUCCUUGUUUGUGUGUCUCUUCAAGACAAGCUUUUAUUAAACAGCUUCAGGGUUGAAAUGUGACUGGUGCCUACGCUGAACUUCUCAUAUACAGUUUUAUCUAUCGAAAGCCCAGGCUUUCUUGACUCCUACCCAGCAAGCCUUUCCUGUGUAUUUAACUCCAUCUUCUGAGUUUCUGAGGCUUCAACUGUCACAGUGAGCUCAAGUAACUUCUGCCCCUCCAGUCAAAAAUGAGGCAAGACACCAACUCUGGGUGUGUGGAACUCAAAUAUGAGCUUGUGAAAGGCUUAAAUCUGCUUAAGGCAGAUUCAACACAAACUUUGCGUUUUACCCUUAUCUCAUUCAAACAAUACUCCCUCACAAAAAAUAUUUCAUUUUUCCCCCUGUGAAUCCUUAAAAACUGGAGAAAAAGAUGAAGGGGGCUCAGAGUUCAAUCCUGUAACGUUUGGCUUGUGUUCAUGCUGUCUUUUAUUGCUAUACUACUCUG
ensembl:lncRNA